rnacentral:rRNA from 1 species
AACGCGUGAGAAUCUGCCUCUAGGACUGGGACAACAGAAGGAAACUUCUGCUAAUCCCGGAUGAGCCGGAAGGUGAAAGAUUUAUCGCCUAGAGAUGAGCUCGCGUCUGAUUAGCUAGUUGGUAAGGUAAAAGCUUACCAAGGCAACGAUCAGUAGCUGGUCUGAGAGGAUGAUCAGCCACACUGGGACUGAGACACGGCCCAGACUCCUACGGGAGGCAGCAGUGGGGAAUUUUCCGCAAUGGGCGCAAGCCUGACGGAGCAAGACCGCGUGGGGGAGGAAGGCUCUUGGGUUGUAAACCCCUUUUCUCAGGGAAGAACCAAAUGACGGUACCUGAGGAAUCAGCCUCGGCUAACUCCGUGCCAGCAGCCGCGGUAAUACGGAGGAGGCAAGCGUUAUCCGGAAUGAUUGGGCGUAAAGCGUUCGUAGGUGGCUAUUCAAGUCUGCUGUCAAAGACAGAAGCUCAACUUCUGAAAGGCAGUGGAAACUGAGUAGCUGGAGUGCGGUAGGGGCAGAGGGAAUUCCCGGUGUAGCGGUGAAAUGCGUAGAGAUCGGGAAGAACACCGGUGGCGAAAGCGCUCUGCUGGGCCGCAACUGACACUGAGGGACGAAAGCUAGGGGAGCGAAUGGGAUUAGAUAC